AUACUUAGGGGAGAUACCAUGAUCACGAUGGUGGUUUUCCCAGGGUGAGGCUUAUCCAUUGCACUCCGGAUGUGCUGACUCUUGUGAUUUCCACAAAUGUGGGAAACUCAACUGCAUAAUUUGUGGUAGUGGGGACUCUCUUUGUGCUCGCCCCUG